UAAGUACAGGAGUAUGAUUCUUUAGAUCUGGAAUGAAUUUUUAAAUUUUUGUUUAGAUAAUAUACAGUUUGGGAGAUUUGACUCCCGGAGCCACGUGCUUCUUCAUUCACUUAUGGAGGAGGACGUGUGUUUCUCUAGCCUUCAGACAAAACUUCACUUCAUCCUAAGCUGAAUUUGGAUAUUGCUCACUGUGAAUCAAGCACUGUAGCCAAGGGAAUGAGAGAGAGCACAAGUAGGGGAAGGGGCAGAGGAAGAGAAUAUCCAAGCAGACUCCUGCUAUGCACGGAGCCCAACACAGGGCUCGAUCUCAUGACCGGAGAUCAAGACCUGAGCCAAAACCAAGAGUCAGACGCUUAACCCAUUGAGCCACCCAGGUGCCCCAGGUGUACAAUAUAGUGAUUCAGCACUUCUAUGUAUUACUCAGUGCUCAUCAAGACAGAGAGAGAGAGAGCACACAAGCGGGGGGAGCAGCAGAGGGAAAGGGAGAAGCAGGCUCACCAAGCAGGGAGCCCAAUACGGGGCUGGAUCCCAGGAGCUUGGGACCAUGACCUGAGCCGGAGGUAGACGCC